rnacentral:rRNA from 1 species
UACGGAGGGAGCUAGCGUUGUUCGGAAUUACUGGGCGUAAAGCGCACGUAGGCGGCUUUGUAAGUUAGAGGUGAAAGCCCGGGGCUCAACCCCGGAAAUUGCCUUUAAGACUGCAUCGCUUGAAUCCGGGAGAGGUGAGUGGAAUUCCGAGUGUAGAGGUGAAAUUCGUAGAUAUUCGGAAGAACACCAGUGGCGAAGGCGGCUCACUGGACCGGUAUUGACGCUGAGGUGCGAAAGC